GUCCAUGUCUCCAAACUACAUAACAAAGCAAGACUCUAAAGACUUGGACCUUCGUCCUUUUGCAGAGAUAUUGGGACCACCACACACCCCUUUCUAGUGACGUCAUGAACCCCCCAUGCUCUCCCAAUCCAUCUACUGACUUAAUAGGAAGAGUGAAGAGAAGACAUCCAGUGAGGGCAUUUGACUCUGACCCUUCCGGUUCCCCAGAAUCCAUCUCACAACAAUAGAACAUUCUCUCUGGUUCCAUCCUGGGAAAUAAAUUUCAUCUGCCGGAACACAGAUUGGUGAGACUGCUCUGUUUUGUUCAACUUUAUUUACUUUGGGGUAGCACCAAUAUUACCAUCAGUCAUUUUGCAUUCAUUUUAGAUCAGGAAUUUAGUCCAGCUUCAUUGUUUUCCACCGUCUUCCCAGUUGUUGUUUCAAGUGUGUUUGGUUUAUGAUAUUUGUUGUAUGUAUUGUGUGUUAUUUGGAGUAAUAUUAUUUCUGUGAAGUUUUUAUUAGCUGUUAGCAAUUCUUUUUGUGCAUAUAAAUAUUUGGUAAUGAAUUGCAUAUUUUGGGGUACAGUCUUAUAUUUGCAUAAUAUAAUAAUAUUUUAUGAUUAACUGUCUUUUCACCACUGAUUGGGAGAAGAUUAAGAAACUUAUGAGUGAAGUACAUGGCUGACUUGGCUUAGUCCAAGCUUUUUCCAGGCCUCUGGCCCAGGAGUGCAGAGAUAUUUUGAGCCUGUCAUUACAAAAUAUAUUCUCUGCAAUUUAUGCUGCACUUUGAUUUAUAUUUUUAUUACACCAAUUCAAUUGAAUUCUGGGUAUAUAUUUUCAAAUACAUUUUCUUGCUUUAUCACCAUGAAAGCUGUCUGUGACCAGUUUAUCUGUUCAGCAACCAGAAGCCUUUUAAAAUGAUGGGUGGCCAUAUAUUCAUUGGUUUCAGUAUAUAUUUUUUUUCCACAUCAUUAUCUGUCUGAC